AACGAACGCUGGCGGCACGCCUCAUACAUGCAAGUCGAGCGAGAAAUCACCUUCGGGUGACGUAAAGCGGCGAACGGGUGAGUAACAGGUGGGUAAUCUGCCUCCUGGCGGGGGACAACAGCUGGAAACGGCUGCUAAUACCGCAUGUGGUUGUGCGCUUAUGGCGUGCAAAGAAAGGCGCUUCACGGCGUCACCAGGAGAUGAGCCCGCCCCCCAUUAGCUAGUUGGUGAGAUAACAGCUCACCAAGGCAUCGAUGGGUAGCCGAGCUGAGAGGAUGAUCAGCCACACUGGGACUGAGACACGGCCCAGACUCCUACGGGAGGCAGCAGUGGGGAAUAUUGGACAAUGGGGGCAACCCUGAUCCAGCAAUGCCGCGUGAGUGAUGAAGGCCUUAGGGUUGUAAAGCUCUUUCGCACGCGACGAUGAUGACGGUAGCGUGAGAAGAAGCCCCGGCUAACUCCGUGCCAGCCGCCGCAGUAAGAC
rnacentral:rRNA from 1 species